UACUAGAGUAGCACUCGCAUAUCAAUAAGCGGAGGAAAAGAAACUAACAAGGAUUCCCCUAGUAACGGCGAGUGAAGCGGGAAGAGCUCAAAUUUGAAAUCUUAAAGGGUUUCCCUUUACGAAUUGUAGUUUAAAGAAGUGUUUUCUGUUGAGGUUUUGGUAAAAGUUCUUUGGAAUAGGACAUCAUAGAGGGUGAGAAUCCCGUAUUUGACCUUUACUUUCAACUUUGUGAUACACUUUCAAAGAGUCGGAUUGUUUGGGAAUGCAGUCCAAAAUGGGUGGUAAAUUUCAUCUAAAGCUAAAUAUUGGCGAGAGACCGAUAGCGAACAAGUACCGUGAGGGAAAGAUGAAAGGAACUUUGAAAAGAGAGUUAAACAGUACGUGAAAUUGUCAAAAGGGAAGCGUUUGACACCAGUGUUGUUUUUCUGAAAAUCAAUUAAAGAACUGUUUAUGCUAAGCUGUUUAGACUUUAUCAGCUAUCUGUUCAGUUUUGAGCUUUUCUUUAAUGCACUUUUCAGUUAACAAGUCAACAUCAAUUUCUUUUGCUGUAAAAAAGCUUGAGGAAGGUGGCUUGAGAUUCGUCUUAAGUGUUUAUAGCCUCUUGCCUAUGCAGUCGGAGAGAUUGAGGUCUGCAGCGUAGAUCCUUCGGGGCUAAAUGCAUUUGUGCUAAGUUAUAGCAUUUUAUAGACAACUUGUUGACUAUGAUUUGUCUUGUAGCUUACUCGCUUAUGUUAUUUUACCUACGCUUAGGAUGUUGAUCUACAGAGCGAGAGU
rnacentral:rRNA from 1 species